AGGCGCUGUGCGGGCCACCUUUGGAAUGGGAUGAGCGUUUGAGGUACCAUGAGUGAUGAUGGCUGUAGGUUCUGACUCUGGAAUGAGCGGAUGAUGAAGAGGAACCUGGCGACUGCAGGAACAUCCUAGUUAGCCCAUGUGAUUUUUGUGGAGGAUGGAUUUGGACCCUUGGCCCUUUGAAAGCUAAGUUGAGGGACCCGGGCUGGGGAGAGGCUGGGAGGGAGGGACACAGCUGGGAAUUGCAGGGAGGGGUUUGAAAGUUAGUGCAGGAGAGAGGGCUGUCCCAAAGCAGUCCCCUUUGGGCAGGUGAAGGGAGCGGGUUGCUUUGCAGCACGAGACCAGCGUGUGCCGGGCAGGGCAGUUCCAGCCUUUGUCUGUGGUGGUGUGUGGUUUGUGUAGUCUGUCUUCUGUGCCUUCGAC